CAUAUGCUUGUCUCAAAGAUUAAGCCAUGCAUGUCCAAGUAUAAGCAAUUAUACAGCGAAACUGCGAAUGGCUCAUUAUAUAAGUUAUCGUUUACUUGAUAGUACCUUACCACUCGGAUAACCGUGGUAAUUCUAGAGCUAAUACGUGCCGAAGAUCCCGACUCACGGAGGGAUGUAUUUAUUAGAUUCAAAGCCAAUGCCCCCGGGGCUCACUGGUGAUUCAUGAUAACUGCUCGAAUCGCACGGCCUUGCGCCGGCGAUGGUUCAUUCAAAUUUCUUCCCCAUCAACUUUCGAUGUUUGGGUAGUGGCCAAACAUGGUUGCAACGGGUAACGGAGGGUUAGGGCUCGACCCCGGAGAAGGAGCCUGAGAAACGGCUACUACAUCCAAGGAAGGCAGCAGGCGCGCAAAUUACCCAAUCCCGACACGGGGAGGUAGUGACAAUAAAUACCGAUACAGGGCUCUUUUGGGUCUUGUAAUUGGAAUGAGUACAAUUAAAAUCCCUUAACGAGGAACAAUUGGAGGGCAAGUCUGGUGAACGUUGCUGGUGCCAGAGAGAGCCACCCUCGGUAAACAAUGGCUAGUCGAGCGCUCGUCGAGCGACGGGUGAGCGCCGGCGAGACAACCUGGAUCGGGGAAGGCUGAGGGCUCUCCGCCAGCCUAUGCUGAUCCCGAGCGGAGCCACCCGUGUGGCCUGUGUAGAGCGCGCCAAGGUGUCGGUCCCGGCCCUCCCGGGGGGGGGGGGCGCCCGGGGCUUAAGGUACGUGCCAAUCCCCCGCGAAAGCGGGGCCCCACGGAGUAGCACCCGUCGUGCGAAGCCGUGGUGGGUAGACCCCCCUCCUCCCCAGCGGGGUUGGGGGGGGGUCGCGUGUCAACAGAACGCAAGGUCCUUCCGGGCCCGAUCGAGGCAGGGUGCUAGGGGGUUGAGGCGCCGCCUGUCGGGCCUGCCCCCCCCUCGCCUGGAUCCCCCGGGGGGGACCUGAGGCCUGUUGCCUUGUCGUCGUGGCCAGCAGCCGCGGUAAUUCCAGCUCCAAUAGCGUAUAUUAAAGUUGUUGUGGUUAAAAAGCUCGUAGUUGAACCUUGGGCCUGGCUGGCCGGUCCGCCUCACCGCGUGCCCUGGUCCGGCCGGGCCUUCCCCUCUGUGGAACCCCAUGCCCUUCGCUGGGCGUGGCGGGGGAUACAGGACGUUUACUUUGAAAAAAUUAGAGUGCUCCAGGCAGGCCUAUGCGCAUACAAUUAGCAUGGAAUAAUGAAAUAGGACGCGCGGUUCUAUUUUGUUGGUUUCUAGGACCGCCGUAAUGAUUAAUAGGGACAGUCGGGGGCAUCAGUAUUCAAUAGUCAGAGGUGAAAUUCUUGGAUCUAUUGAAGACUAACUACUGCGAAAGCAUUUGCCAAGGAUGUUUUCAUUAAUCAGGAACGAAAGUUAGGGGAUCGAAGACGAUCAGAUACCGUCGUAGUCUUAACCAUAAACUAUGCCGACUAGGGAUCGGACGAUGUUUUUUUUUUGACUCGUCGGCACCUUGCGAGAAAUCAAAGUGCUUGGGCUCCAGGGGGAGUAUGGUCGCAAGGCUGAAACUUGAAGAAAUUGACGGAAGGGCACCACCAGGGGUGGAGCCUGCGGCUUAAUUUGACUCAACACGGGGAAACUCACCAGGUUAACUCACGGUUCAUGGGCCAGACACAAUGAGGAUUGACAGAUUGAGAGCUCUUUCUUGAUUUUGUGGGUGGUGGUGCAUGGCCGUUCUUAGUUGGUGGAGUGAUUUGUCUGCUUAAUUGCGAUAACGAACGAGACCUUAACCUGCUAAAUAGCCCGCAUUGCUCCGGCAGUGCGCCGGCUUCUUAGAGGGACUAUCGGCUCAAGCCGAUGGAAGUUUGAGGCAAUAACAGGUUGACCUUCACAGGCCUGUCACAGUGGGCCUCGUUAAAGAUAACUGCUAGUCCAGCGACUUUACCUCCGCGGGGAAGCCCCCAAUGUCGGGCGGAGGAGGGCCCUCCGGGGCCCAUGUCGCGGGCGACACCACCUGGUACAGGGGACGCCGCGAACCCAGCGAUGGGGGACGGCCGAUCCUGUGGCGAGCCUGGGUAGCGCCAGGCCGUCGCAACGCGCGCAAAGGGGUGGGCUGAGCCGCCGCGGCCAGCUUGAGGUACGUGCUAAUCCCGUGGGAAACCACGCCUCCGUAACUAGGCCCGACACGCCAAAGUACGGGGGGGGGGGGGGUCGUGGGCGCUCCGCCGAUCCCACGGCCCCGGCGGUGCUCACGCAGUCACGUCGGAGAAGCAAAAGCAAGCAAGCGAGCGGGGGGGGGGGGGGGCCCGCUUCAUGCUCGAGACCGUCGUGGGACCUGCGUGGGCGGACCACCUGCUGUGAUGCCCUUAGAUGUUCUGGGCCGCACGCGCGCUACACUGACGGAGCCAGCGAGUACCCCCUUGGCCGGAAGGCCCGGGUAAUCUUGGUAAACUCCGUCGUGCUGGGGAUAGAGCAUUGCAAUUAUUGCUCUUCAACGAGGAAUCCCUAGUAAGCGCAAGUCAUCAGCUUGCGUUGACUACGUCCCUGCCCUUUGUACACACCGCCCGUCGCUACUACCGAUUGAAUGGCUCAGUGAGGCGUCCGGACUGGCCCAGAGAGGUGGGCAACCCCCCCUCAGGGCCCGGAAGCUCUCCAAACUCGGUCAUUUAGAGGAAGUAAAAGUCGUAACAAG
rnacentral:rRNA from 1 species